rnacentral:lncRNA from 1 species
AUACAAAUCUGUCUUUUACUUGCUUGUUUAAUUGACAUUUGCCUGCAUUCCUGCAUUUGUUAGAUCCAUUUUAACAAACCGAGUAGAAAUAAAGGACUUCAGAAUAUCUGGGGUGCUGCAGCUGAAACCAGCUUCUGAACUGAAGCAAAUCUGUGUCUUUUUAGCGAAAUGAAUAGACCCCUUCAGCCCGAACCAGCUGGGAACCAACCCCUUUUGGGCUGUUUUCUGGAAAUACUUUAAUAGAAUUCAUUCCCACAGUAAAUACAAACGUCAUUGUCCUGAGCUGCUGCUUUUGGGACAAGACUUACAUACGCUGUCUUUGAAUUUAAAACUCUCUGGUCAUUUUACUGUCCGCAUUUCUGACUGACACAAUAUGUUGGUUUCACACACACACACACAGAGCAAAUUGCUAUCUAUAUUUUGCCAGUUUUCUCCCCUUAUACUAUCUAUAUUUUGCCAGUUUUCUCCCCUUAUUUUUUUCCGGGGGCGGGGUGGGGAGGAGGUAGGGUGGUAUAAUUUCCCCCUCCUUUCCUUGGCUGUCAAAUUAGGUCCCGGCAGUCCGAGGAGAGCUGGUGCUGUCCCCAGGCGGUGCUCAGCCCCGGGGGAUGCUGCGGGGGGGGGAUGGCAUUCCUCGCGUUUCCCGAGGGAGCCAGGCAGCCCGGGGCAGCCCGUGCCCGUCCCGGGGGAUGCCCGAGGCACCACAGGUCUCUCCAGCACCGCACUCCCUGCCCAGCGCUGCUCCGGUGCCCCCUCCCGCCUUUCCCUGCCCGGCGAGGCGAAGGAAGGGGUGAAGUUCUCCGUGUCCCUCUGCCACGGGGGCAGCCGCUCCGUGAGGAAGCCCCGGGUGGCCCCCGCACAGCGCUUGCAAACUGCUGGGGGACAAAAUCCAUAUUGCUUAAACCAUAGUCAUAGCAGAAAGAAGACCAUGAGCAUCAAGGAAGCAGAGAGUCAGCAAAUGUGGAGGACCGCGAGCUUAUAUGAACCUGAAGAUGUUAGUGGGAUGAGACUGAUACUCAUCAGACAGAAGCAGGAAACGAAACAUAUAGAUGGUGAGGAAGCUGGGACCACAGACUGACUGACCCAUCCUCUGCUGUGUGUUUGACACCUGUGGUGAUUUUAAAGUGAGGAGUGUGCUCUGUUUGUCCCUGUGGUUUCAGCCUCCUCAGUGCGGGCUGCUGCAUCGCCAGGAAUGUGGAUGCUUUCUGCUGCCCGGGAUCCUGUUUUGUUACCGCUUCCUCCUUUGGCCUCCUGCCAGAAAAUCACCUUGGAAACCCAGGCACCCGUUUCCAUGGUCACUUGGAGGAGCAUACGUUUCCUUCCAUGGCGUUGGGGUAUUCGGAGGAGGAAACCCGCAAGCUUUUUUUGCCAGAGUAAGUUUGGUGGGAUUGGACUCAAAGAGCUGCAUCCUGACCUUAUUUCCUUCCAUCAAAUCCCCAGCGAAACCACCGGAGCUGCAGAGCGUAAACAAGGGCAGAAUGUGGCUUUACAUGAAUGCAUUCACACCGAGCUGUGAAAUAACGACUUACAAACAACCUGCCUCUGACUUAUUCCCACCCCAGAGAAACUCAAGAGUGAGAUGAACAGGAAUAAAAGGGAACUUUGUUCUCCCCCA